rnacentral:sRNA from 1 species
GAGCUGGCCGUAUGGCCCGGGUCCACCCUGCGGCGGGGAUGUUCCCC